rnacentral:lncRNA from 1 species
AAAAUUCUGUAACUAACACUCUUGAGCAACUUGUUUGAGCCCACUCCCACUCUGUGGAGCAUAGUUUCAAUAAGUCUGUGCUUUCACUGCUUCAUUCUUUUGUUGUUUUGUGCAUUUUGUCCAAUUCUUUGUUCAAAAUGCCAAGAACCUGGAUGACUCAUAGUCAAGACCCCCCCGGGGAAGCAUUUUCUGUCUCUCUUUCCAACUCAGGACACUUGACAGAGAGCACCUAAGCAUGGAGGCAACUGCAGGUCUCUGGCUGGGGCCACUCUACGGAGAGACUGAAAGACCACUGUGGGCAACUCUCCAUCCAUUCCCUCUGAUUCCCUGCUUGGCUGCAUCAUCAACCACUGGAAUCAGUUGAACCCUGACAAUCUAAGGAGAAAACGUCUGAUUUUCUACUAUAAUACUGUAUAGCCCCAAUAUCAGCUGGACAGCCAGGAAUAAUUGGUGGUCAUGGGAAGUCUUAAUUACAACACCAUCCUGCAAUUAGACCUGUUUUGCAAAAGGCAGGGUAAAUUGUCAGAAAUCCCAUACGUACAGGUCUUCAUGGCCCUAUACCAAAACCCAACAAUCUGCAAAAGUCCUGGAACCUGCCCUGAAAAGGAAGGUCUUAAGGCAGAACUAGAUAUUGUAGAUGACCCCCUUUUACAAAGGCCACCUGUCUCUCAGAGGGAAGUGCAACCACCCCUGUAUAACUCCUUGCCAAGUGCUCCUGAGGCUCAAACCCAAGAGCAAAAUUCGGGGUUCCAGCUAAGUCCUCCUCAUAUUUGGAGAGAAACAAUCUCCCCCUCCAGCCCUGCUACCCCUUAGGGAAGUAGCAGGAGCUGAGGGGCCAGUCCUAGUGCAGUCCCCCUUUUCUAUAACUGAUAUAAAACAACAUACAGAAAAGCUAGGAAGCUAUUCUGAGAACCCUAGGAAUUUGGAGAUGGGUCCCAAACUUUGACCUUAGCCUUUGAUCUCUCAGGGGAGAUGUUCAAUUCAUUCUAGCAACCUAUUGCAGCCCCUUGGAAAAGAAACAAAUCUUUGAGGCUGCCCGCCAGGAAGCAGAUGACUUAUUUCCUUGAAACUCUCAGGGCAAUCACUUAGGCCCAGACAUAAUCUCCAUUACUGAUCCUAAUUGGGACUAUAACACACCCGAGGGAAUGAACCACCAGGCUAAGUUUCUUGAGGCUCUCCUUGGAGGAAGAGAAAGAGAAUAAGGCAGUAAAUUAUGAUAAGGUAAAGGAAGUUACACUGGGCAAGAAAGAAAAUCCAGCCAUGUUUCAUGGCAGACUGGAGGAAGCCUUUAAAAAAUAUACUAAUCCAAUCUGCCCCAGACAUUAGAUAUAAGCUCCAAAAGCUACAGAUGGGCCCACAAACUAAUCAAAAUCAGCUUCUUGAUAUUGCUUUCAUGAUGUAUAACAAUCAUGAAGGAAGGAAAAGGGGAACAGAGUAAAGAAAAAUGGCAAGCAAAAAUUAUGACAGCCAUCACUGGCAAUGCCCUGAAUGCCCAAAGAGCACGCAAAGGAAACCCAAAGGGCCAUAAGGACAAUGCCAGCCUGUAGAGGAUACAAGAUUUGUUAGUACUAAUAGACACCUGUAGGGAGCUGAAGGCCAGAGAGACAUGACCAACUCAGUAUUCCACUGGAGGUUAUAUGAUCAAACAGCAAACUUGUUUAUCAUGAAAGCAGGAUGUGGGCAAACUCAUGACUGUGCCUGCAACCAGGAGGUUUGCUGAGGGCAAUCACUCCCUGGCACCGUGCUCAUUGCGGUUACCUACUGGGACAUCUAGAGCCUAUUGUUCAAAGAAUGCGGUCUUGCAAGCCUGCUGUGAAUCAAACUGCCUGCUGACAACCACCCCCUCCUCUUCUCGCUAUCUCUUUUGCCUAAUAAAUACGGAGGGCUGUGUAAAGCUCAGGGCCCUUGUUCACUAGAAGCAAGGAGCCCCCUGACCCCUUCUUCCAAAUAU